CUGACUACAGCUACAAGGUGGACAUUGUUACAAGUCAUGGAAAAAAGCCUAGACUGUAAAAGAGGCAUUUCAAGUUGUUCAUCAGGAGUGAGGACUAUUACAGACUAAAGGAUAGAGGACAAACCAAAAAAAAACAAACCAUAAUAGGGGCACUUAAAAUUAGUGAAGGACUCGCACCAAAGCUGCUGCUCCAUAACAAUGUUUUUACUCUCUGACAGACAUUGCAGCUAAACUACAAUGUUUUAGUUUUUGUUUAAUUUACAGCCUGCAAAAAUUCAUUUGGGACACUUGACGUCCCAUUUUACAACCAGAAGUAGUAUAAUUUAUUUUUAUUUUUCCAUGUAUUUGAUGGAUGGAAUAGUCUUAGGUAAGCAUUGCAGUUCUUAAUUGCUUUUUGCUAUUGAAUAAAAUAAAAAUGUUUAAAAAAUAAAUGUAAAAAAAUAAAUAAGUUUCUGCUGGAAUAAUGGGUGUGAGCUAGCAUCAUAAAACUACAGUAUAUUUUAGCUUGAAGUUUAUAUUUUGUUUGAGGCUUGGUGCUCUAGAGCACUUUAAUGAUUAACUUUCCUUUUAUUUCACCAAUGAACUUAAAAUGUGUUUUAGAGCUGACUUUAACGGGAAAAAAAUGUAAAUACUAUAAAAAAUCAUUUUGCCAUUAUUCAUUUGAUUUUUGAGAAGUGAUUUGUUUUAUUGGUAGUGUGGUGUUGAGUGUGUUUUUAGGGUAAAGCAGUGCAUGUUGAUGAAUUGUAAAAUGCAAAAAAAUAUAAAAUACUGAUUGUACAAAAUUGUGUUUGUGUGAUCUGUCCUACUUUAUCUCUCUGACUCCCCUACCUCUAUUGGGUUUGUGCAUUUUUUUUAUUAUUUUUUUUCACUGCCAAGUCGCCUAUCCUGAUAAGCUAGUUUUUGUUGUCAAAUCACAGCUCGCACCUUUUAACAGCCUAAAGAAGCAAUUCAUACUGAAAAGUGUGUGCAUGGGUUCGGGAAAAAGCAAAAACAGAACAGCUCCCAAGGAAUCCAAAGAC
ensembl:lncRNA